AGCAUCGCCUUCACACGGCGGGGGUCACAGGUUCAAACCCUGUACUGCCCA
rnacentral:tRNA from 1 species